rnacentral:tRNA from 1 species
AGGGAAACAGCUCAGUGGUAGAGCACAUGCUUAGCAUGCACGAGGUCCUGGGUUCAAUCCCCAGUACCUCCA